GUCAAGGCUGUAUAUUGUCACCUUGCUUAUUUAACUUAUAUGCAGAGCACAUCAUGCGAAAUGCCAGCCUGGACGAAGAGCGAGCCGGAAUCGAGAUUUCCGGGAGAAAGAUCGGUAACCUCAGAUAUGCAGAUGACACCACCCUUAUGUCAGAAAGGGAAAAGGAAUUAAAGAGCCUCUUGAUGAAGGU